UACGUAGGUGACAAGCGUUGUCCGGAUUUACUGGGCGUAAAGAGCGCGCAGGCGGUCGUUCAAGUCGAGUGUGAAAGCCCCCGGCUCAACUGGGGAGGGUCACUCGAUACUGAUCGACUCGAAGGCAGGAGAGGGUAGUGGAAUUCCUGGUGUAGACGGUGAAAUGCGCAGAUAAUCAGGAAGAACACCCGUGGCUAAGGCGGCUCACUGGCCCGAUACUGACGCUGAGGCACGAAAGCGUGGGGAGC
rnacentral:rRNA from 1 species